AUUGACCGCUGGCGGCAGGCCUAACACAUGCAAGUCGAACGAGUGGCGGACGGGUGAGUAAUGUCUGGGAAACUGCCUGAUGGAGGGGGAUAACUACUGGAAACGGUAGCUAAUACCGCAUACCCUCAGAUGUGCCCAGAUGGGAUUAGCUAGUUGGUGGGGUAAGGGCUCACCUAGGGGACGCUCCCUAGCUGGUCUGAGAGGAUGACCAGCGACGCGGGAGCUGUGACUCGGACCAGAAGCCUACGGGAGGAAGCAGUGGGGAAUAUUGCACAAUGGGCGCAAGCCUGAUGCCGCCAUGCCGCGUGUGUGAAGAAGUCAAUCGGGUUGUUAAGCACUUUCAGCGAGGAGGGGUUAGUCGCAGAAGAAGCACCGGCUAACUCCGUGCCAGCAGCCGCGGUAAUAC
rnacentral:rRNA from 1 species